rnacentral:lncRNA from 1 species
CAGUGGCUGCAGCUCCUCCAGGUGGGCCAGGGUCUGGCACAGAAGCCCCACACAGGCCGACUUGGAAGACAGUAGAGUGUCCACCGUCAUGGAGCAACCUUGGGUAGUCUCAUCCAGCAGGCCUGCAGCAAAACAGGAACAGCUCCCUUGCGGUAGUCACUGACCCAAUCACAGGCCAGGUCCCAAGUUCAGGGCUGUGGCACCUCCACCCCAGCGCCCUUCACUCUCAGCAGGAGGUGGGAGCAAAGCUGAGAGAUCCGGGUUCUACCUUCCCACACUACUCAGUGUACCUGGGGUCCAGGGGCCUGAGCAGUGGCUCUCAGGAUACAGGCGAGGGGCUGGAGAAGGACCCCGAAGGCCAGAGGCCCAGUUUGCAUGGGGCUCAGGCAGCUCAGCAUCCGGGCUAUAGUCUCCCACAGGGUACAGUCUGCAGAAGCAAACACAGGAGAACUGCAGGAAGGACCCGAGAGAGAAAAAUCACUCUGCUAUCCCACAAAGGCCCCACAGUGACAAGUGGGGACUGCCACGGCCCCUGCUGGAGAUGCCCAGCCCUGUGGAUGGCCUUCGCCAGGGCAAGGGGUCCUCCUCAGGAACACUGCCAUCAUGGCAGCAUUUUCAGGGGCUGAUUCCAUCUCUGUCUGCCAUGAGGAGUGCCCAGGCGUGACCACUGCUCUGAGACUUCCUGGGGGAAUCACCACCCACCUGGGCCCCCCCAACCAUGUCCCAGGGACCUGACCGGGCCACGCUGAGGAGGAGGUCCACCAGCGAGUGUGUGGCUGGGACGGGUUCACUGUCCAACAAGUGGGCCACCAGGGGGACUCAGCUGCCCCCCAGAGGACCUCUGUCCAGGGGCUGUGGCAGCGCCCAAAGGUGGUGGUGAGGACGUUCAGGGCCUGAGUGAUUUGCAGGGCAGUUGUGGAGCACAAGGGCGGCUUCUACAUGGGCCACAAUCUUCUGGGCACAUGCGGGCCAGGCACUGCCCUUCAGGCUAGGGGACCCUCGGCCUUGUCUUGCAUGGACAAAGCUAGGACAUGCACCAGGAGCUGACUGGCAGCAGAGGCCACAAACAGGCUGGAAUCUCCCUGCAGGGAGAAGAGGGCAUCAACCGCACCU